AGAGGAGGGGCUUGAGAUCUAGCUGAGGGUUUGGGUUUCUCCCCAAAGGGCCACUGAUAUUUUUACUGUCUGUUAGCAGAGUGACAGGAUCAAAUUUGUCUUGUAAACAUCCCUCCCUUGCACAGGAGGGAGUGAGAAAGAGAAGCGAAGAGCGUGAAUCAGGGACAGCCCCAGUGGUGGCCUGGACUAGCGGAGUGGAGGGAGCCAUAGAGAGGCGAUAAGUGUGUUUUGGAGUUGGAAUCCAUGGCUCAUGGGGGUGAGUUGAUAGCAUGUGGGGGCGAGGAAGAAAGAGGGGCCGAACCGGACCCCCGGGGUUCUGAUUUGAGCAGCUGGAGAGAUGGAGCCGCUACGCCAUGAACCUGGAGGUGGGGUGUGGGAAGAGCGUUCCAGAAGGCACUUUGGGGCCAGUUAAACCUUAGACACUGAUGAGAGUAGGUCAAAGUGAUUCGCUUUCCUAAGGAAGUCACUGGGAGAAAGUGCUUCCCAGGGGAUUUCCAGCGGAGCAGAGCAUCUUUUUACUCCAGAGGACUAAAAACGCUCUUGUACUUGGUGAAGCUGGACUUGGUUCAUGCUGGGUUGGCCUGGAUAAAAUGUUACAGCCAGCUUCAGCCUUAGGGAGAGGCGUUUCAGGGCAGGAAUAUAAAGGCAGCAGCAGAUGACAUCUCCUGAUGGCAGUCCGUCAUCUGCCUGCCUGUGCUGUGCCACCGUGUGCCCUGCCAAAGAAGCAGACGCUGCCAGCCGCUGUCCCCGUAAAAGCAGCCGCCUUGUUGCAGCCAGGAGUGUGGACCGUUGAGCCAGACCGUCUGGUUACAACCAGUGAGACAUCCGUAGACCGAUGAAGUGCCCUCUGCACAGCACACCAGGACACCUGAGAGAUCCAUACGUCUGCACAUCCGAAGGUGGGUCGACUGGAUCCUGUGGAGGCAGUGAAACCAGAGAAGCAUUGGUGGCAGCUCCCAAACCAGAGGCUCCAGGAACCACAGUGGCACCCACAGCUCAACCCCCUUGCCCCUGGCAGUGGCAGCAGCACCUGCAGCCCUGGCCUUCCUGGCUGCAGGGGAUGCAUCUGAGGCCCUGGUGCAGCCACAGCAGCAGCACCUGUGACCUGAUGUUCCAGAGACUGCAAUGGUGGUUAGAGCCAGAGCUUCAGAAAUCACUACAGCGUCUGCAACCUGAGGCUUCAGGAAUCAAAGUGGUGCCUGUGAUGUGGGUAUCGCACCCUGUGGUGGUGGCAGUGGUGCCUUCGACCCCGGCCUGCCUGGCAGUGGCGGUGGUGCUUGUGAAUUUGGCACCCUCAGCAGCAGCAGUGCCACCACCCCUAGAAAACCUGGUAACAGCAGCAGAGGCAACACAAGUGACUCUGGCCCCCCGGCUACAGGGAACUGGGCAGCAGUGGCAGCAGAGCCCGUAACCCCAGUUCUCUCUAGCUGCAGUGGUGCCUGCAACCUGACCCCCCCAUCCAUGGUGGUGAUGGCACCUGUGAACCCAACAAUCCUGGACACAGUGGAGGCACCUGCUACCUCAGCUCCUGCCCCAUCUUCCCUCAUGACCUAGAUGACCCCAGAAGCAGCAGAGGUUCUCGCCAGCCUGGUGACCCCAGUAGUGGUGCCCCUGACCCCAACAACACUGGCAGCAGCAAGGCACCAGUGACCUUGGAGGCAAAAGCAGCAACAACGAGAGCACCGACACCACCUCUGGAAGAGGCAGUAGAGGGUGGAAGGCACUGGUUCUCAGCUAUAACCAGAGGCAGCUAAGAAUCAAAGAACACAAAGCCUUGCCCAAAUAAGGAAGGU
ensembl:lncRNA